rnacentral:tRNA from 1 species
GCGCCUGUAGCUUAACUGGAUAGAGCAUCUGACUUCGGAUCAGAGGGUUGGGGGUUCGAGUCCCUCCAGGCGUGC